GCGCCCGUAGCUCAGUUGGAUAGAGCGUGAGUCUCCGGAACUCAAGGCCAGGCGUUCGAAUCGCCUCGGGCGCA
rnacentral:tRNA from 1 species